rnacentral:rRNA from 1 species
CCCUUAGAUGUUCUGGACCGCACGCGCGCUACACUGACGAAGUCAGCGAGCAUGUCCUACGCCGACAGGUGCGGGGAAUCUUGUCAAACUUCGUCGUGAUGGGGAUUGAUUAUUGAAAUUCUUGAUCAUCAACGAGGAAUUCCUAGUAAGCGCAAGUCAGCAGCUUGCGUUGAUUACGUCCCUGCCCUUUGUACACACCGCCCGUCGCACCUACCGAUUGAACGUUCCGGUGAGACCUUGGGAUUUGGUCUUUGGUACUUUAUUGUGCCGUUGACCGAAAAACUUGAGCAAACCUUAACGUUUAGAGGAAGGUGAAGUCGUAACA